GACGGGGGGUCCUAGCGUUGUUCGGAAUCAUUGGGCGUAAAGCGCGUGUAGGCGGUCCGGUAAGUCUGCUGUGAAAGUCGGGGGCUCAACCCUCGAAUGCCGGUGGAUACUGUCGGGCUAGAGUGCGGAAGAGGCGAGUGGAAUUCUGGUGUAGCGGUGAAAUGCGCAGAUAUCAGGAGGAACACCUAUUGCGAAAGGCAGCUCGCUGGGACGUA
rnacentral:rRNA from 1 species